rnacentral:rRNA from 1 species
CAUUCACGGAGAGUUUGAUCCUGGCUCAGGACGAACGCUGGCGGCGUGCUUAACACAUGCAAGUCGAACGAUGAACCACUUCGGUGGGGAUUAGUGGCGAACGGGUGAGUAACACGUGGGCAAUCUGCCCUGCACUCUGGGACAAGCCCUGGAAACGGGGUCUAAUACCGGAUACUGAUCAUCUUGGGCAUCUUGGAUGA